rnacentral:rRNA from 1 species
GUUUGAUCCUGGCUCAGSAUGAACGCYGGCGGCGUGCUUAACACAUGCAAGUCGAACGAUGAAGCCCAGCUUSCUGGGUGGAUUAGUGGCGAACGGGUGAGUAACACGUGAGUAACCUGCCCUUAACUCUGGGAUAAGCCUGGGAAACUGGGUCUAAUACCGGAUAGGAGCGUCCACCGCAUGGUGGGUGUUGGAAAGAUUUAUCGGUUUUGGAUGGACUCGCGGCCUAUCAGCUUGUUGGUGAGGUAAUGGCUCACCAAGGCGACGACGGGUAGCCGGCCUGAGAGGGUGACCGGCCACACUGGGACUGAGACACGGCCCAGACUCCUACGGGAGGCAGCAGUGGGGAAUAUUGCACAAUGGGCGMAAGCCUGAUGCAGCGACGCCGCGUGAGGGAUGACGGCCUUCGGGUUGUAAACCUCUUUCAGUAGGGAAGAAGCGAAAGUGACGGUACCURCAGAAGAAGCACCGGCUAACUACGUGCCAGCAGCCGCGGUAAUACGUAGGGUGCGAGCGUUAUCCGGAAUUAUUGGGCGUAAGAGCUCGUAGGCGGUUUGUCGCGUCUGUCGUGAAAGUCCGGGGCUUAACCCCGGAUCUGCGGUGGGUACGGGCAGACUAGAGUGCAGUAGGGGAGACUGGAAUUCCUGGUGUAGCGGUGGAAUGCGCAGAUAUCAGGAGGAACACCGAUGGCGAAGGCAGGUCUCUGGGCUGUAACUGACGCUGAGGAGCGAAAGCAUGGGGAGCGAACAGGAUUAGAUACCCUGGUAGUCCAUGCCGUAAACGUUGGGCACUAGGUGUGGGGACCAUUCCACGGUUUCCGCGCCGCAGCUAACGCAUUAAGUGCCCCGCCUGGGGAGUACGGCCGCAAGGCUAAAACUCAAAGGAAUUGACGGGGGCCCGCACAAGCGGCGGAGCAUGCGGAUUAAUUCGAUGCAACGCGAAGAACCUUACCAAGGCUUGACAUGUUCUCGAUCGCCGUAGAGAUACGGUUUCCCCUUUGGGGCGGGUUCACAGGUGGUGCAUGGUUGUCGUCAGCUCGUGUCGUGAGAUGUUGGGUUAAGUCCCGCAACGAGCGCAACCCUCGUUCCAUGUUGCCAGCACGUCGUGGUGGGGACUCAUGGGAGACUGCCGGGGUCAACUCGGAGGAAGGUGAGGACGACGUCAAAUCAUCAUGCCCCUUAUGUCUUGGGCUUCACGCAUGCUACAAUGGCCGGUACAAUGGGUUGCGAUACUGUGAGGUGGAGCUAAUCCCAAAAAGCCGGUCUCAGUUCGGAUUGGGGUCUGCAACUCGACCCCAUGAAGUCGGAGUCG